GGAGCCCUCAGUUGGCCAGAGCAUCUGUCUUGUAAACAGAGGGUCGCCGGUUCGAAUCCGGCAGGGGGCUCCACGA
rnacentral:tRNA from 1 species